rnacentral:lncRNA from 1 species
AGUGUGUGUUCUAGUCGAAUAAUCCAGAGAAGACAGGAGCUCCCCAUAUCAAACCCUAACUAGCUCAAAAUUGACAAAUUGAAAGGGGAAAUCUAACCCAAAUCGAAAUCCAAGUACAAAUUCGUGAUCACCUCAGUGAAGGGAUCAUAAGUUUGGCGCUUAGCAAGCUAGGUGGAAGCUUGAGGAUGAAGCGGGUCAAACGAGCGAGUAUGGAAAGAAAAGCGUGGCAUGGAUGCAAGGGAAGAGCUAUAAGGUUCGCAAUGCUAUUAAUUGGUGAUUAAUAUCGAAAGGUAUAUUAAACGGGUUAAUACUUUGACCCAAGCCAGGUAUGUAUAAGUAUGAUUAUGGCAAAAAUGUAAAAUGGGUCAAAUACAUUGGUAGAAGUCCUUCGUCGUAAACGAGGGACCAAAGUUGACCAAAACACUCUUGAAGGGUAAUUUGGGCAAACGACCCAUAUGGGUUGUUUAGAGAUAUGAAUUAUGGUAAUGUAAGCCUUAGAUGGGUAUGUAAGUUUUAGGCAUAGACCUUCUCGGAUCAAAUGCCAAGAAUAGUCCUUUUGCCGUAGAGUGGCUAACCGAAGGGUAGAUUUCGAAUAAAUAAUUGCUACAUAUAAAAUCCACUACAAUAGUAGUCUUGGUGGAAGAUCACUCUAUGAAUAAUGUGAAAUUAUGAUGCUAGAAAGGAAUUAGAGUGGUUAUGCGUAAAAGCGCUUAAAUACCCUUAACGGGUCAAAUAAGCUCAUAAUUAUAGAUGGGUUAAUGAUGCAUAAUAACCCGUGAUUUAAAUCUUGUGUCAUUUGAAAUAAUUGAAAUGUGAUAUUCAUAGGAAUUUUGGAAUGGCAAACAUGUUCAUUUAAUGAAUUACGAAACGGGUCAAAAAUGUUAAAAAGGGAUUUCAAGCCGAGAGCUUGAAGUGCGAAUUUUGAAAGUAGUUGAAUAUCAGGUUUUAAUUCCCUAAGAUGGGGAAUUAAAUUAUGAACGCGUAGGAAAAAGAAUCGUGUAAAACGGAUCUGUAGACUAAAAGUUAUGGUUCUUGAAAGUUUGAUUUUUGAUAAAUAAACAUAGCUGGCAAAAGUGCAGGUCCCAGCUGCGGACCUGCUGGAAAACGGAUCAAUGACUAUCAUAUUUUUGGAGUUUAGUGAUGAUGUAAUAUAUGGGUUCUUGUUCUUGAUGGGUUCAUUGUUUAACUCAAACGCUUAAGGAAGAUGAAGGGGUCGAGUAA